GACGAACCGAGCGAACGUUAUUCGGAAUCACUGGGCUUAAAGGGCGCGUAGGCGGGUGCUCAAGUCCGGGGUGAAAUCCUCCAGCUCAACUGGAGAACUGCCUCGGAUACUGGGCGUCUCGAGUGUGGUAGGGGUAUGCGGAACUAUCGGUGGAGCGGUGAAAUGCGUUGAUAUCGAUAGGAACUCCGGUGGCGAAGGCGGCAUACUGGACCACUACUGACGCUGAUGCGCGAAAGCCAGGGGAGCAAACGGG
rnacentral:rRNA from 1 species